UACGGGGGGGCAAGCGGUUGUUCGGAAUUACUGGGCGUAAAGGGCCAGUAGGCGGCCAACUAAGUCGGAUGUGAAAUCCCCAGGCUCAACUUGGGAACUGCAUCCGAUACUGGAUGGCUUGAAUUCGGGAGAGGGAUGCAGAAUUCCAGGUGUAGCGGUGAAAUGCGUAGAUAUCUGGAGGAAUACCGGUGGCGAAGGCGGCAUCCUGGACCGACAUUGACGCUGAACGGCGAAAGCUAGGGGAGCAAACGGG
rnacentral:rRNA from 1 species